UACUGAUGCCCGCGUCGC
rnacentral:sRNA from 1 species